UAAUACCGCAUACGCCCUACGGGGGAAAGCGGGGGACUUUCGGGCCUCGCGCUGAUGGAUGAGCCUGCGUCGGAUUAGCUUGUUGGUGAGGUAACGGCUCACCAAGGCGACGAUCCGUAGCUGGUCUGAGAGGAUGAUCAGCCACACUGGGACUGAGACACGGCCCAGACUCCUACGGGAGGCAGCAGUGGGGAAUAUUGCACAAUGGGCGAAAGCCUGAUGCAGCCAUACCGCGUGGGUGAAGAAGGCCUUAGGGUUGUAAAGCCCUUUCAGUUGGGAAGAAAAGGUCGGGGAUAAUACCCCCGGUUCUUGACGGUACUUACAGAAAAAGCACCGGCUAACUCAGUGCCAGCAGCCGCGGUAAUACUGA
rnacentral:rRNA from 1 species